GGCACUGGGGCUCUGGGGUGAGAGCGUGCCUCUGAUAAAGGUGAGGUCGAAAGGUUCAACUCCUUUCCGGUGCCA
rnacentral:tRNA from 1 species